AGUUUUAAUAGUUUAAUUAAAAAUCUUGGUCUUGUAAACCAAAAAUGAUCACCCAUCUUAAAAC
rnacentral:tRNA from 1 species